GAUGAACGCUAGCGGGAGGCCUAACACAUGCAAGCCGAGCGGUAGAGUUUCUUCGGAAACUUGAGAGCGGCGCACGGGUGCGUAACACGUGUGCAACCUACCUUUAUCUGGGGGAUAGCCUUUCGAAAGGAAGAUUAAUACCCCAUAAUAUAAUGAUUGGCAUCAAUUAUUAUUGAAAACUCCGGUGGAUAGAGAUGGGCACGCGCAAGAUUAGUUAGUUGGUGAGGUAACGGCUCACCAAGUCAAUGAUCUUUAGGGGUCCUGAGAGGGAGAUCCCCCACACUGGUACUGAGACACGGACCAGACUCCUACGGGAGGCAGCAGUGAGGAAUAUUGGACAAUGGGUGAGAGCCUGAUCCAGCCAUCCCGCGUGAAGGAUGACGGUCCUAUGGAUUGUAAACUUCUUUUGUACAGGGAUAAACCUACCCUCGUGAGGGUAGCUGAAGGUACUGUACGAAUAAGCACCGGCUAACUCCGUG
rnacentral:rRNA from 1 species